rnacentral:rRNA from 1 species
UACGAAGGGGGCUAGCGUUGCUCGGAAUCACUGGGCGUAAAGCGCACGUAGGCGGAUUGUUAAGUCAGGGGUGAAAUCCUGGAGCUCAACUCCAGAACUGCCUUUGAUACUGGCGAUCUUGAGUCCGGGAGAGGUGAGUGGAACUGCGAGUGUAGAGGUGAAAUUCGUAGAUAUUCGCAAGAACACCCGUGGCGAAGGCGGCUUCCUGGCCUGUUCUUGACGCUGAGGCGCGAAAGCUAGGGGAGCAAACGGG